CCUACGGGAGGCAGCAGUGAGGAAUAUUGGUCAAUGGGCGCGAGCCUGAACCAGCCAAGUAGCGUGAAGGAUGACGGCCCUACGGGUUGUAAACUGCUUUUAUAAAGGAAUAAAGUGAGGCACGUGUGCCUUUUUGUAUGUACUUUAUGAAUAAGGAGCGGCUAACUUCGCGCCAGCAGCCGCGGUAAUACGGAGGAGCCGAGCGUUAUACGGAUUUAUUGGGUUUAAAGGGAGCGUAGAUGGGUUUUUAAGUCAGUUGUGAAAGUUUGCGGCUCAACCGUGAAAUUGCAAUUGAUACUGGCAGCCUUGAGUACAGUUGAGGAAGGCGGAAUUCGUGGUGUAGCGGUGAAAUGCUUAGAUAUCACGAAGAACUCCGAUCGCGAAGGCAGCCUACU
rnacentral:rRNA from 1 species